GUGGGGUUAUAGCUCAGUGGUAGAAUGCAUGCCUAGCAUGUGUGAGGCACUGGGUUUGAUCCUCAGCACCACA
rnacentral:tRNA from 1 species